GGGUUGUGAGGUUAAGCGACUAAGCGUACACGGUGGAUGCCCUGGCAGUCAGAGGCGAUGAAGGGCGUGCUAAUCUGCGAUAAGCGCCGGUAAGGUGAUAUGAACCGUUAUAACCGGCGAUACCCGAAUGGGGAAACCCAGUGUGACUCGUCACACUAUCAUUAACUGAAUCCAUAGGUUAAUGAGGCGAACCGGGGGAACUGAAACAUCUAAGUACCCCGAGGAAAAGAAAUCAACCGAGAUUCCCCCAGUAGCGGCGAGCGAACGGGGAGGAGCCCAGAGCCUGAAUCAGCAUGUGUGUUAGUGGAAGCGUCUGGAAAGGCGCGCGAUACAGGGUGACAGCCCCGUACACAAAAGCGCAUGUGCUGUGAGCUCGAUGAGUAGGGCGGGACACGUGGUAUCCUGUCUGAAUAUGGGGGGACCAUCCUCCAAGGCUAAAUACUCCUGACUGACCGAUAGUGAACCAGUACCGUGAGGGAAAGGCGAAAAGAACCCCGGCGAGGGGAGUGAAAAAGAACCUGAAACCGUGUACGUACAAGCAGUGGGAGCCCCACCACCAAAGCAUUUGCUGUACCGCGUUGACGGAGCGAAGCGACGUCAAACCGAUAAAACAGCAGUGUAAAGUGAGCCGCAGGGCGCUUUGCGCGACAGCGCAAAGGCAGGCGGUUUCGCGUAGCGAAAGCGAAUGCUUUGGGGUGGGGUGACUGCGUACCUUUUGUAUAAUGGGUCAGCGACUUAUAUUCUGUAGCAAGGUUAACCGAAUAGGGGAGCCGGAGGGAAACCGAGUCUUAAC
rnacentral:rRNA from 1 species